rnacentral:rRNA from 1 species
GGGUUGUGAGGUUAAGCGACUAAGCGUACACGGUGGAUGCCCUGGCAGUCAGAGGCGAUGAAGGACGUGCUAAUCUGCGAUAAGCGUCGGUGAGGUGAUAUGAACCGUUAUAACCGGCGAUUUCCGAAUGGGGAAACCCAGUGUGUUUCGACACACUAUCAUUAACUGAAUCCAUAGGUUAAUGAGGCGAACCGGGGGAACUGAAACAUCUAAGUACCCCGAGGAAAAGAAAUCAACCGAGAUUCCCCCAGUAGCGGCGAGCGAACGGGGAGGAGCCCAGAGCCUGAAUCAGUGUGUGUGUUAGUGGAAGCGUCUGGAAAGGCGCGCGAUACAGGGUGACAGCCCCGUACACAAAAAUGCACAUAUUGUGAGCUCGAUGAGUAGGGCGGGACACGUGGUAUCCUGUCUGAAUAUGGGGGGACCAUCCUCCAAGGCUAAAUACUCCUGACUGACCGAUAGUGAACCAGUACCGUGAGGGAAAGGCGAAAAGAACCCCGGCGAGGGGAGUGAAAAAGAACCUGAAACCGUGUACGUACAAGCAGUGGGAGCCUCUUUAUGGGGUGACUGCGUACCUUUUGUAUAAUGGGUCAGCGACUUAUAUUCUGUAGCAAGGUUAACCGAAUAGGGGAGCCGAAGGGAAACCGAGUCUUAACUGGGCGUUAAGUUGCAGGGUAUAGACCCGAAACCCGGUGAUCUAGCCAUGGGCAGGUUGAAGGUUGGGUAACACUAACUGGAGGACCGAACCGACUAAUGUUGAAAAAUUAGCGGAUGACUUGUGGCUGGGGGUGAAAGGCCAAUCAAACCGGGAGAUAGCUGGUUCUCCCCGAAAGCUAUUUAGGUAGCGCCUCGUGAAUUCAUCUCCGGGGGUAGAGCACUGUUUCGGCAAGGGGGUCAUCCCGACUUACCAACCCGAUGCAAACUGCGAAUACCGGAGAAUGUUAUCACGGGAGACACACGGCGGGUGCUAACGUCCGUCGUGAAGAGGGAAACAACCCAGACCGCCAGCUAAGGUCCCAAAGUCAUGGUUAAGUGGGAAACGAUGUGGGAAGGCCCAGACAGCCAGGAUGUUGGCUUAGAAGCAGCCAUCAUUUAAAGAAAGCGUAAUAGCUCACUGGUCGAGUCGGCCUGCGCGGAAGAUGUAACGGGGCUAAACCAUGCACCGAAGCUGCGGCAGCGACACUAUGUGUUGUUGGGUAGGGGAGCGUUCUGUAAGCCUGUGAAGGUGGCCUGUGAGGGUUGCUGGAGGUAUCAGAAGUGCGAAUGCUGACAUAAGUAACGAUAAAGCGGGUGAAAAGCCCGCUCGCCGGAAGACCAAGGGUUCCUGUCCAACGUUAAUCGGGGCAGGGUGAGUCGACCCCUAAGGCGAGGCCG